AAAUCCCUGCCAAACCGAAGUCUGACGUUAUGCGUCAGAUACUAAUGUAGGUGCGGUGGGGGUUU
rnacentral:ncRNA from 1 species